AAGGAUCAUUACCGAGUUCGUGGGCGUUCUAACCGGACCCCAAACUCCCACCCCAUGUGUACCUGAACCUCGUUGCUUUGGCGGGCCUGCGCGCCCUGAAAAAGCGCGCUGCCGGCCCUGCUGGCCCGUGCCCGCCAGAGGACCUUCAAACUCCUGUUGUCAUCAGUGCCGUCUGAGUGUAAAACUUAAUACGUUUAAAACUUUCAACAACGGAUCUCUUGGUUCUG
rnacentral:misc_RNA from 1 species